GGGGGUAAAAUUAAUAAUAAGAGGGGUAAUAAAAAUAAUUUUAAUAUUAAAAUAGUUUAAUGGGGGUUAAAGUAUUUUUAAUAGAAAAAAUUUAAAUUUUUAUAGUUAAAUAGUAUUGUGAAAGAAUUUUGAAAUAUUUUUUGAAAAUGAAAUUUAUAAAAAAGUAAAUUUUAUUUGUUGUAUCUUGGGUAUCAGAGUUUAUUAAAAAUUUUUUAUUGUUUUUAAAUUUCUCGAAUUUAAAAGAGAUAAUUAAUUAAUAAAGUUAUUGUUGAAUAAAUAUUUUAAAUAAUUAAUUUGAAAUGAAAUGUUAAUCGUUUUUAAAUAUAUCUAGUUUUUUUAGAAUAAAAUUUAAUUUUUAAUUUAAAUUAAAAAUAAAUUUAUUAUUUAAUUUAUUUUUAAUUUAAAUUUUAUAUUUUAGGGGAUAAGCUUUAAAUUAAAUUUUUAUAAUAAAAAUAUUUUUUUUUAAAAUUUUUAUAAUUUAUAUUGUUAAUAAAUUAUAUUUUUUUAUAAAUAAUUUUAUUAUGUAAUUAAAAUUUAAUUUUAUAUUUAAAUUUUUAUAAAAAAUUAUUUUUUAAUAUGAAAAAUUUAGAUAAUAUGAUAAAAUUAGUAUAUAAGAUUUAUUUUAAUUAAGUUUAAUUUUAAUAAAAAUUAUUUUAAAGGAAUUCGGCAAAAUUUUAUGUCCACUUGUUUAUCAAAAACAUGUCUUUUUGUUUUAUAAUUUAAAGUCUAAUCUGCCCACUGAUAUAAAUUAAAGGGCUGCAGUAUUUUGACUGUACAAAGGUAGCAUAAUCAUUAGUCUCUUAAUUGGUGACUUGUAUGAAAGAUUGGAUGAGAUAUAAGCUGUCUCUAAAAUAUAUUAUUGAAUUUAAUUUUUUAAUCAAAAAGUUAAAAUAAUUUAAAAAGACGAGAAGACCCUAUAGAGUUUUAUAAUUUUUAUAAAUUAAAAUUAUUUGUAAAUUUUUAAUUAAAAUUAAUAAUAAAUUAUUUUAUUGGGGUGAUAAAAAAAUUUAAUAAACUUUUUUAAAAAUUUUUCAUAAAUAAGUGAAUGUUUGAUCCAAUAUAUAUUGAUUAUAAGAUUAAAUUACCUUAGGGAUAACAGCGUAAUUUUUUUUUUUAGUUCAUAUAAGAAAAAAAGUUUGCGACCUCGAUGUUGGAUUAAGAUAAAAUUUAUAUGCAAAAGUAUAAAGUUUUUGAUCUGUUCGAUCAUUAAAAUCUUACAUGAUCUGAGUUCAAACCGGUGUAAGCCAGGUUGGUUUCUAUCUUUUAAUAAUAAAAAUAUUUUAGUACGAAAGGAUCAAAUAUUUUAAUUAAAUUAUAUAAUUUUGAAUUUUAUUAAAAUAUUUAAAAAAUUAUUUAUAAUUAAAUAAAUAAUAA
rnacentral:rRNA from 1 species